rnacentral:rRNA from 1 species
GACGAACGCUGGCGGCGUGCUUAACACAUGCAAGUCGAACGGAAAGGCCCUGCUUUUGUGGGGUGCUCGGGUGGCGAACGGGUGAGUAACACGUGAGUAACCUGCCCUUGACUUUGGGAUAACUUCAGGAAACUGGGGCUAAUACCGGAUAGGAGCUCCUGCUGCAUGGUGGGGGUUGGAAAGUUUCGGCGGUUGGGGAUGGACUCGCGGCUUAUCAGCUUGUUGGUGGGGUAGUGGCUUACCAAGGCUUUGACGGGUAGCCGGCCUGAGAGGGUGACCGGCCACAUUGGGACUGAGAUACGGACCAGAGUCCUACGGGAGGCAGCAGUGGGGAAUAUUGCACAAUGGGCGGAAGCCUGAUGCAGCAACGCCGCGUGCGGGAUGACGGCCUUCGGGGUGUAAACCGCUUUCGCCUGUGACGAAGCGUGAGUGACGGUAAUGGGUAAAGAAGCACCGGCUAACUACGUG